rnacentral:rRNA from 1 species
ACUCCUACGGGAGGCAGCAGUAGGGAAUCUUCCGCAAUGGACGAAAGUCUGACGGAGCAACGCCGCGUGAGCGAAGAAGGCCUUCGGGUCGUAAAGCUCUGUUGUUAGGGAAGAACAAGUACGAGAGUAACUGCUCGUACCUUGACGGUACCUAACCAGAAAGCCACGGCUAACUACGUGCCAGCAGCCGCGGUAAUA